rnacentral:rRNA from 1 species
GAUUCUACCUUGGCGAUUCCUCCUUCUCUUGUUCCAUCUCUUCCUCAGCAUUACACUCGUCGUUCACGACCUGUGGAUGCUUCCUUGGAUGAGUCGUCCUCUUCCUCUCAGCCUACUUAUGGCUUGCGUUCUCGUCCUCGUCCGCCUAUUGAUCGCUUUGGAUUUCCCACCGCUGGUGCUGCUGUUCUUGAGCCGACUUCUUACCGUCAGGCUGUUGUUCAUCCUGAAUGGCAGUUUGCGAUGGCAGAGGAGAUUGCUGCUCUUGAACGCACUGGUACCUGGGAUCUUGUUUCUCUUCCUCCCGGAGUCCGUCCCAUCACUUGUAAGUGGGUCUACAAGGUUAAGACUCGCUCCGAUGGUUCUCUUGAGCGUCACAAAGCUCGUCUCGUGGCUCGUGGUUUUCAGCAGGAGCAUGGUCGUGAUUAUGACGAGACUUUUGCUCCUGUGGCCCAUAUGACCACUAUUCGUACACUUCUUGCUGUUGCCUCUGCACGCCACUGGUCUAUAUCUCAGCUUGAUGUUAAGAAUGCCUUUCUUAAUGGUGAGCUGCGUGAGGAGGUGUACAUGCAGCCACCACCUGGGUAUUCUGUUCCUGAUGGCAUGGUGUGUCGUCUUCGUCGCUCUCUCUAUGGCCUUAAGCAAGCCCCUCGCGCCUGGUUUGAGCGUUUUGCUUCUGUGGUCACUACUGCUGGUUUUUCAGCAAGUGCUCAUGAUCCCGCAUUGUUUAUUCACCUUUCUCCUCAUGGCCGGACUCUUCUUCUUCUCUAUGUUGAUGAUAUGGUCAUCACUGGGGAUGACCCCGAGUAUAUUGCCUUUGUAAAGGCCCGUCUUAGUGAGCAGUUUCUUAUGUCUGAUCUUGGACCUCUUCGCUAUUUUCUUGGGAUUGAAGUCUCU